AGGUAUUUCAUUUUUGUAUAUACUGGUCUGGGUACACUGUAAAAUCUAACACUUGUGUAAACUUCCAUUAACCUUGUUUACUUUACUUUCAGCAACAAAUGUGUGCAUCUUAAUGAUUAGAGUAAAGUAACAGUUACUUCCAUGUUGAAAAAAGCAUGUUACUUCAUAAUAAGACUGAGGUCAACUUGUCUGAGACAAGUAACCUCAACAGUGACAAAUUUCUACCAUUAG